ensembl:lncRNA
GCAGAGGCUGUGUUGUAGAGGGAGAGGCUGUGUUGUAGAGAGAGAGGCUGCUCUGUAGAGAGAGAGGCUGCUCUGUAGAGAGAGAGGCUGCUCUGUAGAGAGAGAGGCUGCUCUGUAGAGAGAGAGGCUGCGUUGUAGAGAGAGAGGCUGCUCUGUGGAGAGAGAGGCUGCUCUGUGGAGAGAGAGGCUGCACUGUAGAGAGAGAGGCUGCGUUGUAGAGAGAGAGGCUGCUCUGUAGAGAGAGAGGCUGCUCUGUAGAGAGAGAGGCUGCACUGUAGAGAGAGAGGCUGCACUGUAGAGAGAGAGGCUAGGCUGUAGAGAGAGAGGCUGCGUUGUAGAGAGAGAAGCUGCUCUGUAGAGAUAGAGGCUGUGUUGUAGAGAGAGAGGCUGCGUUGUAGAGAGAGAGCCUGCUCUGUGGAGAGAGAGGCUGCACUGUAGAGCGAGAGGCUGCACUGUAGAGCGAGAGGCUGCUCUGUAGAGAGGGAGGCUGCUCUGUAGAGAGGGAGGCUGCUCUGUAGACUCUGUAGAGAGGGAGGCUGCUCUGUAGAGAGGGAGGCUGCUCUGUAGAGAGGGAGGCUGCUCUGUAGAGAGGGAGGCUGCGCUGUAGAGAGCGAGGCUGCGCUGUAGAGCGAGAGGCUGCGCUGUAGAGAGAGGGGCUGCGCUGUAGAGAGAGAGGCUGUGCUGUAGAGAGAGAGGCUGUGCUGUAGAGAGAGAGGCUGUGCUGUAGAGAGAGAGGCUGUGCUGUAGAGAGAGGCUGCGCUGUAGAGAGAGGCUGCGCUGUAGAGAGAGAGGCUGCGCUGUAGAGAGAGGCUGCGCUGUAGAGAGAGGCUGCGCUGUAGAGAGAGGCUGCGCUGUAGAGAGAGGCUGCGCUGUAGAGAGAGGCUGCUCUGUAGAGAGAGAGAGGCUGCUCUGUAGAGAGAGAGGCUGCGCUGUAGCGAGAGAGGCUGCGCUGUAGCGAGAGAGGCUGCGCUGUAGCGAGAGAGGCUGCGCUGUAGCGAGAGAGGCUGCGCUGUAGAGAGAGAGGCUGCGCUGUAGAGAGCGAGGCUGCGCCGUAGAGAGCGAGGCUGCGCCGUAGAGAGAUAGGCUGUGCUGUAGAGAGGCUGCUCUGUAAAGAGAGAGGCUGUAGAGAGAGAGGCUGUGCUGUAGAGAGAGAGGCUGUGCUGUAGAGAGAGAGGCUGUGCUGUAGAGAGAGAGGCUGCGCUGUAGAGAGAGGCUGCGCUGUAGAGAGAGAGGCUGCGCUGUAGAGAGAGAGGCUGCGCUGUAGAGAGAGAGGCUGCGCUGUAGAGAGAGAGGCUGCGCUGUAGAGAGAGAGGCUGCGCCGUAGAGAGAGAGGCUGAGCUGUAGAGAGAGAGGCUGAGCUGUAGAGAGAUAUGAGCACCACAGAGCUCCUCUAUUUACAGGACCACUCUGGCAACACAACAGCGUGUGAAGUGCACUCUUGGAAGAGCUUGCUCCUUGCUGACAUAGUGGAUAAUGCUAGACAAGCAGUGUGGAUGAUUUUAUAAGAAUUUGAGGUGUGUGAGUCAGGCUGUUUAGUGAGUAGACUCAUCGUUGCAGGCUCUCUUGUCUCCCUGUCCAGUGUUGCCCUCUGACAGCCUCCCUUUGCACAGCCACUGUUCCAUACAUAUCAUAGUAUUGAUGUUACUAUCAGCUCAGAAACCUUUGAAACCAGCCCUGUAGAUGAAUGAUGCUCAUCUCACAGAAUGCCGUAUGUUAGAGAUUAUUUUUGUAUGUUCGGUUCUUUAACGUAGAAGAAGCAGAAGAGGGAGAAUAAAAGUGUCUUUUUAUUUUCAUUUUCAACAUGCUGCAUUUUCCUCUUAAUAUUGUAUCAGUGUAAUGAUAGACAAAAUAAGCAAUUUAUUUGUAUUGUGUAUAUUGUGCAGAAUGCUCUCAAAUGAAUGCAAUGGCAGACUACCUUCUCUCAGUGAUGAUGCCCUAGCUAGUCAUCUCCUGUAUGUACAUAGUUUGACCUUUAUAUUUAUGGUUGUGGUCACCUCUGCCUUUUCUUUCUUUUCAUUUGCAGGCAUUGCUAACUGCACUGUGCUUCAAUCUGCAUUUAGACCAGAUGUACAGCUUCGUCUUUAAUGAAAUGACAAUGAAAAAAUAAGAAUGUAAAAACAUUUCCCUGUGUUUGACUUUUUUCAUUCAUUGAUUGUGUUUGAUAUUUUAUGGGUUAUUUACUAGGUGUCCCGAUUAGAACAUCCUCUUGACUCCAGUCAUUGACAGAAUACACUUACCUAUUGCAUUAUCUUGAACUGUAUACAAUAUACUGUAUGAAAUAUAAAUAUAUGUAAAGAGCACUUUAUACACAAAAAAGAAAAAGGUACUGUUUACCAUGACUGGGCUGAGCCCACUGUCUGCUCAAGUUCUAUUGUGUCUCCUGAAUCAUUGUGCAAUCCAAUGGGGUGAACUCUAAACUUUGAGGAUAUGAAUCAGAAUCGCCCACGCAAACAUACUUUGAUAAACAAAAAUGUACUGACCAAUAUAUAGAUAGUAUACUGUCUUCUGGUCAACAUAUAGUGGAUUAAAGCGCCAUAGCAUCAACAUUUUUAUAACAAGUCGCUUCAUAUAAAGUACAGAAUAUCAAACAUAACUUUAUGGUAUUCACUGCAAAUAGACAUCAUAAUAUUAUACUGGAUUGGAAAUAUCAUUGAAAGCGCUUUUUCAGGUGCUCAAAUCACUUUGCAUUGUCUGAUAGGAUUCACCUCACACUACUAUCCAAAAGCAUAGAUACCUGGGUUAUGUUGGCUCUGAUGGCUCAUUCAUAAGGACAGAUUCAAA